rnacentral:rRNA from 1 species
UGCAAGUCGAGGGGUAACAGGGAGCUUGCUCCGCUGACGACCGGCGCACGGGUGCGUAACGCGUAUAGAACCUACCUUUUACAGAGGGAUAGCCUUUAGAAAUGAAGAUUAAUACCUUAUGGUAUUGUAGACUGGCAUCAGUUUAUAAUUAAAGAUUUAUCGGUAAAAGAUGGCUAUGCGUCCUAUUAGCUAGAUGGUAAGGUAACGGCUUACCAUGGCAACGAUAGGUAGGGGCCCUGAGAGGGGGAUCCCCCACACUGGUACUGAGACACGGACCAGACUCCUACGGGAGGCAGCAGUGAGGAAUAUUGGGCAAUGGAGGCAACUCUGACCCAGCCAUGCCGCGUGCAGGAAGACUGCCCUAUGGGUUGUAAACUGCUUUUAUACAGGAAGAAACACACCUACGUGUAGGUGCUUGACGGUACUGUAAGAAUAAGCACCGGCUAACUCCGUGCCAGCAGCCGCGGUAAUACGGAGGGUGCAAGCGUUAUCCGGAAUCAUUGGGUUUAAAGGGUCCGUAGGCGGUCUUUUAAGUCAGAGGUGAAAUCCUACAGCUCAACUGUAGAAUUGCCUUUGAUACUGAA